UGGGGAAUCUUGGACAAUGGGCGCAAGCCUGAUCCAGCCAUGCCGCGUGAGUGAAGAAGGCCUUCGGGUUGUAAAGCUCUUUUACCAGGGACGAUAAUGACGGUACCUGGAGAAUAAGCCCCGGCAAACUUCGUGCCAGCAGCCGCGGUAAUACGAAGGGGGCUAGCGUUGUUCGGAAUUACUGGGCGUAAAGCGCACGUAGGCGGAUUGUUAAGUCAGAGGUGAAAUCCCGGAGCUCAACUUCGGAACUGCCUUUGAUACUGGCAAUCUAGAGUCCGGAAGAGGUUAGUGGAAUUCCCAGUGUAGAGGUGAAAUUCGUAGAUAUUGGGAAGAACACCAGUGGCGAAGGCGGCUAACUGGUCCGGUACUGACGCUGAGGUGCGAAAGCGUGGGGAGCAAACAGGAUUAGAUACCCAAGUAGUCCCUGAGCGGGCUGGCAAGGCGCAU
rnacentral:rRNA from 1 species